rnacentral:rRNA from 1 species
AUUGAACGCUGGCGGCAGGCUUAACACAUGCAAGUCGAGCGGUAGCACAGGGGAGCUUGCUCACUGGGUGACGAGCGGCGGACGGGUGAGUAAUGUCUGGGAAACUGCCUGAUGGAGGGGGAUAACUACUGGAAACGGUAGCUAAUACCGCAUAACGUCGCAAGACCAAAGAGGGGGACCUUCGGGCCUCUUGCCAUCAGAUGUGCCCAGAUGGGAUUAGCUAGUAGGUGGGGUAAUGGCUCACCUAGGCGACGAUCCCUAGCUGGUCUGAGAGGAGGACCCGCGACACUGGGACUGAGAGACGGUCCAGACUCCUACGGGAGGCAGCAGUGGGGAAUAUAGCACAAUGGGCGGAAGCCUGAUGCAGCCAUGCCGCGUGUGUGAAGAAGGCCUUCGGGUUGUAAAGCACUUUCCGCGAGGAGGAAGGUGGUGAGCUUAAUCCGUGCAUCAAUUGACGUUACUCGCAGAAGAAGCACCGGCUAACUCCGUG